rnacentral:rRNA from 1 species
UCGGGAAUCUUGCACAAUGGGCGAAAGCCUGAUGCAGCAACACCGUGUGAGCGAGGAAGGCCUUCGGGUCGUAAAGCUCUGUUGUUGGGGACGAAGGGCGAAGGGUUAAUAGCCCCUAGCCUGACGGUACCCUUCGAGGAAGCCCCGGCUAACUACGUGCCAGCAGCCGCGGUAAUACGAAAGGGGCUAGCGUUGUUCGGAAUUACUGGGCGUAAAGCGCGCGUAGGCGGCAUGCCAAGUUGGGGGUGAAAUCCCUGGGCUCAACCCAGGAACUGCCUCCAAAACUGGCAAGCUAGAGGAUGUGAGAGGAUAGUGGAAUUCCGAGUGUAGAGGUGAAAUUCGUAGAUAUUCGGAAGAACACCAGUGGCGAAGGCGACUGUCUGGCACAUUUCUGACGCUGAGGUGCGAAAGCGUGGGGAGCAAACAGGAUUAGAUACCCCCGUAGUCC